rnacentral:lncRNA from 1 species
AAAGCUGGAGACAUGCAGAUCCAUCCUGAUACCCUAAAGAAAUGUAUGAAUUCUGUUCUCAGAAACCUGUGUGUGUGCCUGUGCCAGUUGGAGGAAUCUGCAGAUCUCUGAGGACUGUCUGUGGACCCUGUUUAGAGCCUCAGCAGGAAUGGAUGCUGCUUAUGAAAGAGGAGCUGGAAGGAGGGCAAAAGAAUAUGAAAUCCACAGUCAGUACCAAAAUAACCACAACUAGCUGAUGUGGCCGCUUUCAU